rnacentral:rRNA from 1 species
GACGAACGCUGGCGGCGUGCUUAACACAUGCAAGUCGAACGGUAAGGCCCUUCGGGGUACACGAGUGGCGAACGGGUGAGUAACACGUGGGUGAUCUGCCCUGCACUUCGGGAUAAGCCUGGGAAACUGGGUCUAAUACCGGAUAGGACCACUGCCUGCAUGGGUGGUGGUGGAAAGCUUUUGCGGUGUGGGAUGGGCCCGCGGCCUAUCAGCUUGUUGGUGGGGUGAUGGCCUACCAAGGCGACGACGGGUAGCCGGCCUGAGAGGGUGACCGGCCACACUGGGACUGAGAUACGGGCGAGACUCCUACGGGAGGCAGCAGUGGGGAAUAUUGCACAAUGGGCGCAAGCCUGAUGCAGCGACGCCGCGUGAGGGAUGACGGCCUUCGGGUUGUAAACCUCUUUCAGCACCGACGAAGCGCAAGUGACGGUAGGUGCAGAAGAAGGACCGGCCAACUACGUGCCAGCAGCCGCUGUAA